AGGUUUCCGUAGGUGACCAGCGGAGGGAUCAUUAC
rnacentral:rRNA from 1 species